rnacentral:rRNA from 1 species
AUGACGGUACCGUUUGUAAGCUCCGGCUAACUCCGUGCCAGCAGCCGCGGUAAUACGGGGGGAGCAAGCGUUGUUCGGAUUUACUGGGCGUAAAGGGCGCGUAGGCGGCCUCCGCAAGUCAAUUGUGAAAUCUCCGGGCUUAACUCGGAAAGGUCAACUGAUACUGCGGGGCUAGAGUGCGUAAGGGGCAACUGGAAUUCUCGGUGUAGCGGUGAAAUGCGUAGAUAUCGAGAGGAACACCUGCGGCGAAGGCGGGUUGCUGGGCCGACACUGACGCUGAGGCGCGAAAGCUAGGGGAGCGAACGGGAUUAGAUACCCCGGUAGUCCUAGCCUUAAACGAUGAAUGCUUGGUGUCUGGGGUUAUAUAGUCCCCGGGUGCCGUCGCUAACGCUUUAAGCAUUCCGCCUGGGGAGUACGGUCGCAAGACUGAAACUCAAAGGAAUUGACGGGGACCCGCACAAGCGGUGGAGCAUGUGGUUUAAUUCGACGCAACGCGAAGAACCUUACCUGGGCUAGAAUGCCUCUGACAACUCCAGAGAUGGAGCCUUCUGGGUAAA